rnacentral:siRNA from 1 species
GAAGGUGAUAAGUGUUCAGCG